rnacentral:rRNA from 1 species
GUGGGGAAUAUUGCACAAUGGAGGAAACUCUGAUGCAGCGAUGCCGCGUGAGGGAAGAAGGUUUUCGGAUUGUAAACCUCUGUCUUAAGGGACGAUAAUGACGGUACCUUAGGAGGAAGCUCCGGCUAACUACGUGCCAGCAGCCGCGGUAAUACGUAGGGAGCGAGCGUUGUCCGGAAUUACUGGGUGUAAAGGGAGUGUAGGCGGGAUGGUAAGUUAGGUGUGAAAUGCGGAGGCUCAACCUCCGAGCUGCACUUAAAACUGCUGUUCUUGAGUGAAGUAGAGGUUGGCGGAAUUCCCAGUGUAGCGGUGAAAUGCGUAGAUAUUGGGAGGAACAUCAGUGGCGAAGGCGGCCAACUGGGCUUUUACUGACGCUGAGGCUCGAAAGCGUGGGGAGCAAACAGGAUUAGAUACCCGAGUAGUCC